AUUGAACGCUGGCGGCAGGCCUAACACAUGCAAGUCGAACGAGUGGCGGACGGGUGAGUAAUGUCUGGGAACCUGCCCGAUGGAGGGGGAUCACUACUGGAAACGGUAGCUAAUACCGCAUACCAUCGGAUGUGCCCAUAUGGGAUUAGCUAGUAGGUGGGGUAAAGGCUCACCUAGGCGACGAUCCCUAGCUGGUCUGAGAGGAUGACCAGCAAAACUGGAACUGAGACAAGGGCCAGACUCCUACGGGAGGCAGCAGGGGGGAAUAUUGCAAAAUGGGCGAAAGCCUGAUGCAGCCAUGCCGCGUGUAUGAAGAAGGCCUUAGGGUUGUAAAGUACUUUCAGCGGGGAGGCGUUACCCGCAGAAGAAGCACCGGCUAACUCCGUGCCAGCAGCCGCGGUAAUUC
rnacentral:rRNA from 1 species